AUGACUGAGAGCAGAACACACACAAUCUUCAUCAUCAUCAUCAUCAUCAUCACACCAGACUCAACUACAGCUAUGAUCAACAUCUGCAUCUGCGUCUGGACCAUCGCUGUCUUUAUUGAUGGAUCAUCAGGAGUCACUUUGACUCAACCUGAAGCUAAAACUGUCCAACAGGGAGAAACAGCUACAAUAGAGUGUCAAAUAGAUGUGGGAAUAUACGGCAACUACUUAGCCUGGUAUCAGCAGAGACCUGGAGAAGCUCCUAAACUCCUGAUUAAAUAUAUAAACAGCCGUUACUCAAACACUCCAUCUAGAUUCAGUGGCGGUGGAUCUGGCAGUGAUUUUACUCUGAGCAUCAGUGGAGUCCAGACUGAAGAUGCUGGAGAUUAUUACUGUCAGAGUUACCACAGUGGUGAUGUGUUCACACAGUGA